rnacentral:rRNA from 1 species
ACGGAAGGCAGCAGUGAGGAAUAUUGGUCAAUGGGCGGAAGCCUGAACCAGCCAAGUCGCGUGAAGGAUGAAGGUAUUAUGUAUUGUAAACUUCUUUAGCAGUGGAGUAAUAAGGAGCUCGUGAGCUCCGAUGCAAGUACACUGAAAAUAAGGAUCGGCUAACUCCGUGCCAGCAGCCGCGGUAAUACGGAGGAUCCGAGCGUUAUCCGGAUUUAUUGGGUUUAAAGGGUGCGCAGGCGGCCUUGUAAGUCAGCGGUUAAAUCGUGGAGCUCAACUCCAUCCCGCCGUUGAUACUGCAGGGCUUGAUUGCGGUCGAGGUUGGCGGAAUUCGUCGUGUAGCGGUGAAAUGCAUAGAUAUGACGAAGAACACCGAUUGCGUAGGCAGCUGACCAGGCCGUAAAUGACGCUCAUGCACGAAAGUGCGGGGAUCGAACAGGAUUAGAUACCCUGGUA